rnacentral:lncRNA from 1 species
GUAGCGUUGCCUGUUGCUUGAUUUCGCCGGUCUUUUACCUUCCCACGCAGUGAGGGCUUUUGAUCUCACUUGGCUAUCGACGUUUUUACAGCCCUGAAUCCCAUAUCCUGCAACUCCAGCAAGGUGCGCCCUGAUCCUCGUCGUGUCUCCACUAUACUCAUACCCACAGAAAUUACAAACCCACCUCUCGUUGGGAAGGAUGUGUACAUGCAUGCGAAAAGAGUCCUCCUCUCUGGACAUUUCCCCUGCAUCCCACAGAAGAGUAAAAACAGAUGUUUCAAGGAAGACCUUGGAUCCUAUCAGGAGUUUCAAUCAAUCCGUUCUUUUUUUGAUUUAUCGGACAAGUUUGCAGGAUACUUCUUCGGAAGGAAAAGAGAUGAAUCUUCAUCCAAGAAGACGAAGAGGAAAGGAAAUGGCGACUCCAGCUGUCCAA